rnacentral:rRNA from 1 species
AAAUUGAAGAGUUUGAUCAUGGCUCAGAUUGAACGCUGGCGGCAGGCCUAACACAUGCAAGUCGAACGGUAACAGGAAGCAGCUUGCUGUUUCGCUGACGAGUGGCGGACGGGUGAGUAAUGUCUGGGAAACUGCCUGAUGGAGGGGGAUAACUACUGGAAACGGUGGCUAAUACCGCAUAACGUCGCAAGACCAAAGAGGGGGACCUUCGGGCCUCUUGCCAUCAGAUGUGCCCAGAUGGGAUUAGCUAGUUGGUGAGGUAACGGCUCACCAA